ensembl:lncRNA
ACUGUGCUGAACAGAUUGUGAAUGCAGCUGUGGACAUUUACAACUGUUUGAGUGUGGAUCUGCUGCCCGCACCAGCUAAGUCCCACUAGGUCUUCAAUCUCCGGGACCUAUCCAAAUUUGUCGAAGGUAUACUGCAGUGUGAGCCCAGUCAGCUGAGAGACCCAGGUCUUCCGUCUCUUCUGCCAUGACUGUCAGCGGGUAUUCCAUGACCGACUCACCAACAGCGAAGAUGAGACUUAUUUCAACACCCUCAUCUGCGAAAUGGCCAGCAGAUAUUUUAACAUUAACUUGGAACCUUCAGCCCAUCAUAUUUGGAGACUUCAUCAAGGUGGGCACAGAGAAAGAAGAUCGCCUUUAUGAGGGUCUGACAGAUAUGAAUACGAUCCAGGCUGUGCUUCAGGAGUAUGUAUGA